GACGAACGCUGGCGGCGUGCUUAACACAUGCAAGUCGAACGGAAAGACCCUGCUUUUGUGGGGUGCUCGAGUGGCGAACGGGUGAGUAACACGUGAGUAACCUGCCCUUGACUGUGGGAUAACUUCAGGCAACUGCGGCUAAUACCGGAUACGAGCUCCUGCUGCAUGGUGGUGGUUGGAAAUUUUCGGCGGUUGGGGAUGGACUCGCGGCUUAUCAGCUUGUUGGUGGGGUAGUGGCUUACCAAGGCUUUGACAGGUAGCCGGCCUGAGAGGGUGACCGGCCUCAUUGGGACUGAGAUACGGCCCAGACUCCUAAGGGAGGCAGCAGUGGGGAAUAUUGCACAAUGGGCGGAAGUCUGAUGCAGCAACGCCGCGUGUGGGAUGACGGCCUUGGGGUUGUAAACCGCUUUAGCCUGUGACGAAGCGGGAGUGACGGUAAUGGGUAAAGAAGCACCGGCUAACUACGUG
rnacentral:rRNA from 1 species